rnacentral:misc_RNA from 1 species
CCCCUCGCCCCCUCCUGCGGGUGGGGACCUCGUGUCUCCUGCCCGCAAACCGAACCCCGGCGCGGAACGCGCCAAGGAAAUCUAACCAAGAGAGCCAUGCCGGAGGCCCCGGACACGGUGCGCCCCCUGCGUCGGCRUCUUAUGAAUUAUUC